UUUAAUGAUUUAGACUUGUCCUAACUUUAACAUAUGGGUUUAAUCAUUUGAAUAUGGGCUUGUUGGUAACUCAAAUCAUUUUGAGAGGAUGGGAAUCUGUAGCAUCAAUAUUACUUGAGUUUCCUUCCUUUCUUUUUGUUGUUAUUUUGUAUCCGUGUGAAAAUGUGCCCCUGAUAAAGUUCCAAAUCUUUAAAUAGCAAAGGCAGUAUCAAUAGCCUAUGGUGGCUACACAGUGAAGAAUUAUUUAGUUAAAAGUUCUAGUUGAUUUUAAUGCAAGAAUAUAAUACGGAUUUUUCCCUGCUCGAUCUGUCGUUAUGUGUUCUUUGUAAACGUGUGUUGGAGAGAUUGUCAAGAGAAUCGACUCAGGUAUAUUAAGGUUAUCCCUUCUUUUUUUGGCAUGAUCCAAAUAAUAUGAAUGAAACGAGUAAAAUAUACAACUUUCAUAAAUGACUAUAUUUAUAGAAAUACUAGGGGUGUUUAUAUUCUUGAUUCCUCAUGUGAAUUAUUAUUAUAUCUUCUGUUCAUGGGUCUCAGAAAAUAUGUAUUUGAUAAAUUUUAUCCGAAAGGUAUAUUGAAUAUUAUGACAUUCCGAGAGAUUUUAGUUACGUACUUCUCAUGCAUUGCAUUCAUUUACAAGCGUUAUAUAUGCAUUCAUGGGAAAAGGUUACAGCGUUAUAUAUGCAUCACCACUUGAUCAGCUGGUAUACCAAGAUGAUGUUGCCCACAAUGGCGAAAAUGAUACGAUGGGAUGCCCUCAGAGGCUUGAUGAUGUUAUGGCGUUAUAUACGUAUAUAUAUAAGUGUGUGUGUGUAUAUAUAUAUGUGUCUGUGUGUGCGUGUGUGUGGGGGGGAUAUGGAAAGAGGUUACAGCAUUAUAUACGCAGCACCACCUGAUCAGCUGGUAUACGAUGAUGAUGUUGCCCACGAUGGCUGAAAUGAUAUGAUGGGAUGCCCUCAGAGGCUUGAUGAUGUUAUUUACGUACAGACCUAUGCAUUACAUGACAUUUAUACGCAUAUGCAUGAUACUAGAAAUAUUUCAUUAUUUAUAGAGCUAUCCAGACUUAUAGGUUGAGUCCUUUACUCUAUGUCCUUAAUUAAUGUUGACUUACUGUUAUGUUUCAGUUCUGCCUUACAUAUUCGGUACCUUAUUCGUACUGACGUCCUUCUGUUAGGGUUGCUGCUUUCAUGCCUGCAGGUAUAGACAAUCAGUUUGAUGAGCCCUCAUAGUAGGCGAGGUUAGCAUUCAGCGAAUGAUCGGUAAGACUCCACCUCAUUCGGAGUGUAGCUGAGUCUAUAAGUCAUCGUGUCAGAGCUUUGCUACAUGCUUAUGGGUAGUAGGCCGGUACCCUGUCCCAUUUGAUGUCAAAACAAAUCUUAGAGGCUUUGUAAACAGAGGUUCAUUUUGUACAGUAUGUCAGAGACCUUGACAGCCCAUAUGUAUUCAUGUUUUAAGAAAACAAUGAUUAAGAUAUGCAGUGUUUUCCACUUAGAGUUGUACAUUAAGAGUUGUGGCCAUGUGGGCCCAUGAUAGUUACGAAAGGAAUGAGUUCAGCUAACUCGACCUAUGUAUGUUCAAGUUUUGGUCGAAUGAUCAUGAGUUACAGAGUGGUUCGCUCGGGCUAGUAUGGCACCGGGUGCCAGCCACGCCUUUCAAGGUUGGGACGUGACAAAGUGGUAUCAGAGCUGGUUGUGUCCUAGGGAGUCUACAAAACCGUUCCUAGUAGAGUCUCACUUAUGGGUGUGUUGCGCGCCACAUUUAUAAUUGAGAAGCUAUAAGGCAUUUAGGAAAUAUUACCCUUCUUUUAUUUCCAGAUCGUACCAUAAAGCUAAGUUGUAACAGAUCAGUAUGAAGUUUUCGCCAGAUUUUGUAUGCAUUAGAGGUACAGGUAUUACGGUAGAGUUUUAGGGAGCAAUCACCACCUACGUUAGAGGGAGGGGUUUUGGAAAUGUUGAAUUUACGCAAACGGAAUUUGGCAUGGCAGCAGGCAGAGUGUCUCGUUGUUCCAUAUAAUUGCAAUAUUAUUUUCUCUGCAGCUCUUUUGUAAUAGUAUGAUCAUGUAAUUAGAAUGUAUGACUUCUCUAGG
rnacentral:lncRNA from 1 species